AUUGAACGCUGGCGGCAUGCUUUACACAUGCAAGUCGAACGGUAACAGGCCUUCGGGUGCUGACGAGUGGCGAACGGGUGAGUAAUGCAUCGGAACGUGCCCAAUCGUGGGGGAUAACGUAGCGAAAGUUACGCUAAUACCGCAUAAGCCCUGAGGGGGAAAGUGGGGGACCGCAAGGCCUCACGCGAAUGGAGCGGCCGAUGUCAGAUUAGCUAGUUGGUGGGGUAAAGGCCCACCAAGGCGACGAUCUGUAGCGGGUCUGAGAGGAUGAUCCGCCACACUGGGACUGAGACACGGCCCAGACUCCUACGGGAGGCAGCAGUGGGGAAUUUUGGACAAUGGGGGCAACCCUGAUCCAGCCAUGCCGCGUGCGGGAAGAAGGCCU
rnacentral:rRNA from 1 species